UCCACGCCGUAAACGAUGAGUGCUAGGUGUUGGCGGUAUCCAUUCCGUCAGUGCCGUAGCUAACGCGUUAAGCACUCCGCCUGGGGACUACGGCCGCAAGGCUAAAACUCAAAGGAAUUGACGGGGGCCCGGCACAAGCAGCGGAGCGUGUGGUUUAAUUCGAUGCAACACGAAGAACCUUACCUGGGCUUGACAUGCACGUAGUAGGGAUCCGAAAGGUGACCGAGCCCCUU
rnacentral:rRNA from 1 species